rnacentral:rRNA from 1 species
UACAGAGGUCCCAAGCGUUGUUCGGAUUCACUGGGCGUAAAGGGUGCGUAGGUGGCGGGGUAAGUUUGAUGUGAAAUCUCCGGGCUUAACCCGGAAACUGCAUUGAAUACUAUUCUGCUCGAGGUUUGGAGGGGCAACCGGAAUUCCCAGUGUAGCGGUGAAAUGCGUAGAUAUUGGGAAGAACACCUGAGGCGAAGGCGGGUUGCUGGGCUGAUACUGACGCUGAGGCGCGAAAGCCAGGGGAGCAAACGGG